rnacentral:misc_RNA from 1 species
AAAGCAAAUAAACAAACCCAGUAGGGGUUCCUAAGCUACUGCUAAGCAUUUACAUAAGGGAACUGAUAGCACAGCGAUCAUGAAGUUCCCCCUCCCCUAGAGCUGGUUUUCAUCACAGUUCCAACUGGAGGUGGGUACACAGCUCAAGUAGUGACACCAAUGGCAGCGAUCAUUCCCAUUCUCCCCCCGGAACAGCAUCACUAAUGCAACUACGAAUCCUGCAAUUAGGAGAACCAGAGAAACCAGCCAUAAAACGUAUUGGUAGGACUUGUACUUUGAUUUGACACUAACAUUGGCAGGAAGAUUUUGACGCUCUAACCACCCAUAUCGAGGACGAGGUAGCAAAACAAAGCCGAGGAGGAACCCAGCAAGAAAUCCACCGAUAUGAGCAAAAUUAUCAACAUGUGGCAGAAUUCCAAUAGCAAGGUUGAUGGCUAUGAUGACCAGAAGUGUAAAGAGUGCUGCAGCCUUGUUAGUGUAAAUAGUCCAGUUUGUAAUUAGUUCAGA